rnacentral:ncRNA from 1 species
GCUGCGGUAGAGACCGGAUCUGAUCCGGCGCCGAAGGAGCAACCUGCCCCGGAAUCUCUCAGGCAAACGGACCGCAGCGA